UACGUAGGGUGCGAGCGUUGUCCGGAAUUAUUGGGCGUAAAGAGCUUGUAGGCGGUUCGUCGCGUCUGCUGUGAAAUUUCGGGGCUCAACCCCGAACUUGCAGUGGGUACGGGCAGACUAGAGUGUGGUAGGGGAGACUGGAAUUCCUGGUGUAGCGGUGAAAUGCGCAGAUAUCAGGAGGAACACCGAUGGCGAAGGCAGGUCUCUGGGCCACUACUGACGCUGAGAAGCGAAAGCAUGGGGAGCGAACAGG
rnacentral:rRNA from 1 species